CCUACGGGUGGCAGCAGUGGGGAAUAUUGGGCAAUGGGCGCAAGCCUGACGCAGCAACGCCGCGUGAAGGAAGAAGGUUUUCGGGUUGUAAACUUCUUUUCUCAGGGACGAAGAAAGUGACGGUACCUGAGGAAUAAGCUACGGCUAACUACGUGCCAGCAGCCGCGGUAAUACGUAGGUGGCAAGCGUUAUCCGGAUUUAUUGGGAGUAAUGGGCGUGUAGGCGGGAUCGCAAGUCAGAUGUGAAAACACAGGGCUCAACCCUGGGCCUGCAUUUGAAACUGUGUUUCUUGAGUGCUGGAGAGGCAAGCGGAAUUCCGUGUGUAGCGGUGAAAUGCGUAGAGAUACGGAGGAACACCAGUGGCGAAGGCGGAUUGCUAGACAAUAACUGACGCUGAGGCGCGAAAGCGUGGGGAGCAAACAGGAUUAGAUACCCCAGUAGUC
rnacentral:rRNA from 1 species